rnacentral:rRNA from 1 species
AGUGAACGCUGGCGGUAGGCCUAACACAUGCAAGUCGAACGGCAGCACAGUAAGAGCUUGCUCUUACGGGUGGCGAGUGGCGGACGGGUGAGGAAUACAUCGGAAUCUACUUUUUCGUGGGGGAUAACGUAGGGAAACUUACGCUAAUACCGCAUACGACCUACGGGUGAAAGCAGGGGAUCUUCGGGCCUUGCGCGAUUGAAUGAGCCGAUGUCGGAUUAGCUAGUUGGCGGGGUAAAGGCCCACCAAGGCGACGAUCCGUAGCUGGUCUGAGAGGAUGAUCAGCCACACUGGAACUGAGACACGGUCCAGACUCCUACGGGAGGCAGCAGUGGGGAAUAUUGGACAAUGGGCGCAAGCCUGAUCCAGCCAUACCGCGUGGGUGGAGAAGGCCUUCGGGUUGUAAAGCCCUUUUGUUGGGAAAGAAAAGCAGCAGGUUAAUACCCCGCUGUUCUGACGGUACCCAAAGAAUAAGCACCGGCUAACUUCGUG